rnacentral:rRNA from 1 species
ACACUGGUACUGAGACACGGACCAGACUCCUACGGGAGGCAGCAGUGAGGAAUAUUGGUCAAUGGCCGGAAGGCUGAACCAGCCAAGCCGCGUGAGGGAGGAAGGCGCAGAGCGUCGCAGACCUCUUUUGCCGGGGGACAAAAGGCCGGACUCGUCCGGUCCUGAGGGUACCCGGAGAAAAAGCAUCGGCUAACUCCGUGCCAGCAGCCGCGGUAAUACGGAGGAUGCGAGCGUUAUCCGGAUUCAUUGGGUUUAAAGGGUGCGCAGGCGGGCCUUUAAGCCGGCGGUGAAAUCGCGGGGCUCAACCCCGCCGAGCCGUCGGAACUGGGGGCCUUGAGUGCGGCGGAGGCAUGCGGAAUGCGCGGUGUAGCGGUGAAAUGCAUAGAUAUCACGCAGAACCCCGAUUGCGAAGGCAGCGUGCCGUGCCGCCACUGACGCUGAGGCACGAAAGCGCGGGGAUCGAACAGGAUUAGAUACCCUGGUAGUCC